AGGGGAGUGGCUCAACGGUAGAGCAACGGUCUCCAAAACCGUAGGUUGCGGGUUCAAAUCCUGUCUCCCCUGCCA
rnacentral:tRNA from 1 species